rnacentral:rRNA from 1 species
GACGUAGGGAGCGAGCGUUGUCCGGAUUCAUUGGGCGUAAAGGGCGCGUAGGCGGCUCGUUAAGUGGCUGGUGAAAUCCCGGGGCUCAACUCCGGGGCUGCCGGUCAUACUGGCGAGCUGGAGCACGGUAGAGGCGGAUGGAAUUCCCGGUGUAGCGGUGGAAUGCGUAGAUAUCGGGAAGAAUACCGGUGGCGAAGACGUUCCGCUGGGCCGUUGCUGACGCUGAGGCGCGACAGCGUGGGGAGCAAACAGG